UGCCCUAGUAACGGCGAGUGAAGCGGCAACAGCUCAAAUUUGAAAGCUAGCCUUCGGGUUCGCAUUGUAAUUUGUAGAGGAUGAUUUGGGGAAGCCGCCUGUCUAAGUUCCUUGGAACAGGACGUCAUAGAGGGUGAGAAUCCCGUAUGUGACAGGAAAUGGCACCCUAUGUAAAUCUCCUUCGACGAGUCGAGUUGUUUGGGAAUGCAGCUCUAAAUGGGAGGUAAAUUUCUUCUAAAGCUAAAUAUUGGCGAGAGACCGAUAGCGCACAAGUAGAGUGAUCGAAAGAUGAAAAGCACUUUGGAAAGAGAGUUAAAAAGCACGUGAAAUUGUUGAAAGGGAAGCGCUUGCAAUCAGACUUGUUUAAACUGUUCGGCCGGUCUUCUGACCGGUUUACUCAGUUUGGACAGGCCAGCAUCAGUUUCGGCGGCCGGAUAAAGGCUCUGGGAAUGUGGCCUCCACUUCGGUGGAGGUGUUAUAGCCCAGGGUGUAAUACGGCCAGCCGGGACUGAGGUCCGCGCUUCGGCUAGGAUGCUGGCGUAAUGGUUGUAACGACCCUCUUGAAACACGGACCA
rnacentral:rRNA from 1 species